rnacentral:rRNA from 1 species
AUUGAACGCUGGCGGCAGGCCUAACACAUGCAAGUCGAACGAGUGGCGGACGGGUGAGUAAUGUAUGGGAAACUGCCCGAUGGAGGGGGAUAACUACUGGAAACGGUAGCUAAUACCGCAUACCAUCGGAUGUGCCCAGAUGGGAGUAGAGAGUAGGUGGGGUCAAGGCUCACCUAGGCGACGAUCCCUAGCUGGUCUGAGAGGAUGACCAGCCACACUGGAACUGAGACACGGUCCAGACUCCUACGGGAGGCAGCAGUGGGGAAUAUUGCACAAUUGGCUCAAGCCUGAUGCAGCCAUGCCGCGUGUAUGAAGAAGGCCUUCGGGUUGUAAAGUACUUUCAGCGGGGAGGCGUUACCCGCAGAAGAAGCACCGGCUAACUCCGUGCCAGCAGCCGCGGUAAUAC